GUAUCUUAUGAAUCCGAGACAUUCAUGUAUCCCUGCAUCCCUGUAAUCUCAGUCCAAUGAUUAAAAUCAUGUGGCUCACGUCGAGUCAAAGGGAACUUUACAUUUUACAUGCCCGCUUCUAGAUUUAACCAACGUCUCUUUUGCAAAAUCCCCCCUAUCUCUGAAUCUCCGAAACCCCAACCGUCUCCGCUGCAUCAGAUCUUGGGGUCAUGGCCUCGUUUUCCCCUGCCUACCAAGGGCGAGGAGACCACGGCUGUAGGGCGCGCCCGGCGGCAGUCCUACUCAGGUUCUUCCGCGCGCGACUUCCAGGGCGGCGCCUCCUUGUACAUGCUCUGCAAGACCAUCCGCUGGCGUAGGGUCCCGGAGAGCCGCGGCUUCUCCACCUGCGACGGCGAGCUGCUGCCACAGGAGUCGCUGGGCGCGAGAUUUACCUCCUGGAGGGUGGGCACCAUGAAGCGGCACGUGCCAAGUUCGGCUUCAGGUCCGGCGUCCCUCCGUUGGUGAUGCAGAUUGUAAUGAAUGAUGAUGGCCAGGAGAUGGUCUAUGCUAGUUGAUUUCUGAAAUAUUGUUCCGGUACCGACGAAGCAGGAGGCAAAGGAUUGCUGGAUGGUUUAGGAUAGAUUGGUGUUAUGGUUUUACUUCUCCCUGGAGUCUGGCUUUGCAAAUAAUCUAGUGAUUCCUGAGUCUGACUUUGCUUUGGCGCUGUCAUGAUUCCAGAAAAGGGUCUUGGUGUCUCUAGGACUCUAGGUGAUGUCAUGAUUACAAGUCUUAGGUGAUGUAUGCUGCUGUAACUGAAAAAUUUCCUUGUCCUCCUGAGUAGAAAGUCGAUUCCAUUUUCUCUUUGUUGGGUGUGUGUGUGGCUUGUGGGUUUAGUGUGUAUGCCCAACGUUGGCAUCACUGAUUUUUCAGAAAGGAGUGUAAAUUGUUGUGAAUGGAAAUAACAGAAACAUACUGUUUCUUA